UACGUAGGGGGCAAGCGUUGUCCGGAUUUAUUGGGCGUAAAGAGCGUGUAGGCGGCCUGAAAGGUCAGCUGUGAAAACUCGGGGGCUCAACCCCGAGACGUCGGUUGAAACCAUCUGGCUAGAGUCCGGAAGAGGAGUGUGGAAUUCCCGGUGUAGCGGUGAAAUGCGCAGAUAUCGGGAGGAACACCUGUGGCGAAAGCGGCUCACUGGACCACAACUGACGCUGAGGCGCGAAAAGCUAGGGGAGGCAAA
rnacentral:rRNA from 1 species